AACGAACGCUGGCGGCAUGCCUAACACAUGCAAGUCGAACGAGCGCCUUCGGGUGCUAGUGGCGCACGGGUGCGUAACGCGUGGGAAUCUGCCCUUGGGUUCGGAAUAACAGCUAGAAAUGGCUGCUAAUACCGGAUGAUGACGUAAGUCCAAAGAUUUAUCGCCCAGGGAUGAGCCCGCGUAGGAUUAGCUAGUUGGUGGGGUAAAGGCCUACCAAGGCGACGAUCCUUAGCUGGUCUGAGAGGAUGAUCAGCCACACUGGGACUGAGACACGGCCCAGACUCCUACGGGAGGCAGCAGUGGGGAAUAUUGGACAAUGGGCGAAAGCCUGAUCCAGCGAUGCCGCGUGAGUGAUGAAGGCCUUAGGGUUGUGAAGCUCUUUUACCAGGGAUGAUAAUGACAGUACCGGGAGAAUAAGCCCCGGCUAACUCCGUGCCAGCAGCCGCCGUAA
rnacentral:rRNA from 1 species